rnacentral:rRNA from 1 species
UGGGGAAUAUUGCACAAUGGGCGCAAGCCUGAUGCAGCCAUGCCGCGUGUGUGAAGAAGGCCUUCGGGUUGUAAAGCACUUUCAGCGAGGAGGAAGGUGGUGAACUUAAUACGUUCAUCAAUUGACGUUACUCGCAGAAGAAGCACCGGCUAACUCCGUGCCAGCAGCCGCGGUAAUACGGAGGGUGCAAGCGUUAAUCGGAAUUACUGGGCGUAAAGCGCACGCAGGCGGUUUGUUAAGUCAGAUGUGAAAUCCCCGGGCUCAACCUGGGAACUGCAUUUGAAACUGGCAAGCUAGAGUCUCGUAGAGGGGGGUAGAAUUCCAGGUGUAGCGGUGAAAUGCGUAGAGAUCUGGAGGAAUACCGGUGGCGAAGGCGGCCCCCUGGACGAAGACUGACGCUCAGGUGCGAAAAGCGUGGGGAGCAAAACAGGAUUAGAUACCCUGGUAGUCCACGCUGUAAAACGAUGUCGAUUUGGAGGUUGUGCCCUUGAGGCGUGGCUUCCGGAGCUAACGCGUUAAAUCGACCGCCUGGGGAGUACGGCCGCAAGGUUAAAACU